UGGAAUCAUUAGUGAAGAUAUCCGCGCACAGUAAAUCCGAUCAAUAGGUUGCAAUCAGAUAAAGGAAAAGUUACAUAUUUGAGGAAGAAUACGAACGGGAUUCCACUGCACAUUCAUAGGCUGUUAGGGAGGGUUGCGCUAGUGAAGAAGGCCUAGGGCAUUCAUUAAAAGAAGACAGUUAAGUUAGUCAAGAUAGUGAGUAAGGUUACGGAGCAUUCCACUGAAGCAGUACGGCAUCGGUUCUUGCGAAUGAAUCUGCUGUUGGAAGAAAGCUAUAACUAUAAUUAUAAUAGUUGGGCUCGAUCCCAGACUGAAUAGCAUUCAACGGAAUAGAGGUUAGCGAAGAGGGAAGGGAACAAAAUGUUAGGGGUAGAGGAGAGCGCAGGAA
rnacentral:lncRNA from 1 species